UCUUUUCUUUUUCUCUCUUUCUGAGACUUCUUCCUUCUCCCACUCCUUACUAUUCUUCUUCCUUCAUCCUCUUCUUCUUCCUUCUCCCUCUCCUUCUUCAUUGUUAUUAUUGAGUUUCAAAUAGAUUCGAUUUUGAUUUUGAUUUUGUGUUUGUUGUUUCAGGUUUGGUGGUUUUGGCUCACAUGGAGGGGGAAGCUUCGCCGAUAGUGCGGUUUCGGGUGGCUCCACGUGCGGUGUCUCAGUGUGGAAAUAAACCCUGGGAAGAUGUUCACUAUGUUUCAUAUUGUGUUUCCUUCGUGAAAUUUUAGAUUUAUACGGUAAGCCAGUAGUGGAAGGUACGAAUCACAACAAAGCUUUGGUUCAUUUGUUUAUUUAUUCAGCAUCUCUAACAUUGUUUUUAUGAUUUUCGUUUGGUUCCGAAACUACGAACAUGACUUAUCUGAGAAUAAGAUCCAAUGCUUCCAUGGCUUAGGGUUUGCACUGUUUCUUCAACAAGUUGUUAAGAAGAUAGUGGGGUUGGUGAUUGUAUUGUGCAUAAAGGUGUAACUUCAAAGCUGUUAAAUAUUAGUUGAAGUUUCGUGCCUUCAUUUUAUCAAGUUAGCUGGAAUGAAUUACAAAAAAGCAGAAGAAACAUGAAAUUGCUCAAAAACAAGACUUCCAAGUUGGAAUGGACAUAUGUGUAGUACUUUGUGGCACAUCAAAAAAAAAGAGAUUAGCGGAUAAAAAGGAGGAGGAUGCUCCUGAGAUAGAAGUAGGGCUGCAUGGAAAGUUAUUGACUUAUAAAUUCGGUCACCAUGGAGGAAGAUCUGCCCGUUCAUAACCUUCGAAUUGGUCGCGUUGAAAUUAGUCACCAGGUAUGAAAACCAAUGGGAUUCCACAUAAUAAUAUCAGUUACUUAAAUUCAUUUGAAUCUAUUUUAUUGUGGUAUUUGGAUAUAUUGAUUGAUACAUGAAAAUUGUAAGAGCCACAACUACUCGGUUGAUGUUGCGACACUUCCUGAAGGAGUAGAGGUUACUCAAAUCAAUCUUAACGACAGUAGUUGUGCUGGUCUUGCUUAACGACACUUGAUUUUUAAUUAUGCAUAUGAAAAAAGAUGCCAAAUUUAUUACUUAU